AGAGUUUGAUCCUGGCUCAGGAUGAACGCUAGCUACAGGCUUAACACAUGCAAGUCGAGGGGCAGCAUGAACUUAGCUUGCUAAGUUUGAUGGCGACCGGCGCACGGGUGAGUAACGCGUAUCCAACCUGCCCUUUACGCGGGGAUAGCCUUCUGAAAGGAAGUUUAAUACCCGAUGAAUUCGUUUAGUCGCAUGGCUUGAUGAACAAAGAUUUAUCAGUAAAGGAUGGGGAUGCGUCCCAUUAGCUUGUUGGCGGGGUAACGGCCCACCAAGGCGACGAUGGGUAGGGGUUCUGAGAGGAAGGUCCCCCACAUUGGAACUGAGACACGGUCCAAACUCCUACGGGAGGCAGCAGUGAGGAAUAUUGGUCAAUGGGCGCGAGCCUGAACCAGCCAAGUAGCGUGGAGGACGACGGCCCUACGGGUUGUAAACUCCUUUUAUAAGGGGAUAAAGUUGGCCAUGUAUGGCCAUUUGCAGGUACCUUAUGAAUAAGCAUCGGCUAAUUCCGUGCCAGCAGCCGCGGUAAUACGGAAGAUGCGAGCGUUAUCCGGAUUUAUUGGGUUUAAAGGGAGCGUAGGCGGGCAGUCAAGUCAGCGGUCAAAUGGCGCGGCUCAACCGCGUUCCGCCGUUGAAACUGGCAGCCUUGAGUAUGCACAGGGUACAUGGAAUUCGUGGUGUAGCGGUGAAAUGCUUAGAUAUCACGAGGAACUCCGAUCGCGCAGGCAUUGUACCGGGGCAUUACUGACGCUGAGGCUCGAAGGUGCGGGUAUCAAACAGGAUUAGAUACCCUGGUAGUCCGCACAGUAAACGAUGAAUGCCCGCUGUCGGCGACAUAGUGUCGGCGGCCAAGCGAAAGCGUUAAGCAUUCCACCUGGGGAGUACGCCGGCAACGGUGAAACUCAAAGGAAUUGACGGGGGC
rnacentral:rRNA from 1 species